rnacentral:rRNA from 1 species
UACGUAGGGGGCUAGCGUUGUCCGGAAUCAUUGGGCGUAAAGAGCGUGUAGGCGGCCCGGUAAGUCCGCUGUGAAAGUCGGGGGCUCAACCCUCGAAUGCCGGUGGAUACUGUCGGGCUAGAGUGCGGAAGAGGCGAGUGGAAUUCCUGGUGUAGCGGUGAAAUGCGCAGAUAUCAGGAGGAACACCAAUGGCGAAGGCAGCACUCUGGGACGUGACUGGCGCUGAGACGCGAAAGCGUGGGGAGCAAACAGG